rnacentral:lncRNA from 1 species
AGGGGGACAUCAAGAAGACUAUAGAUCAAUAUGCAUGCAGUAAAUGCGUGUGUUCUCAUAAUUUAAUUUCCAGUUGUUACAGAGAUAAGAUAAGCAUCGAUGUUUAUUUCGUUCCAUUGCUUAGAAGUGUAACUCCGUGGGGCUGGCAGCAUGACUCAGCAGUCAAGAGCACUCAUGCUUUGCACAGGACCCAUGUUUUGUUUACAGCACUCACACGGUGAUUUACAACCAUCUCUAUCUCUAGGAGAUCUGAUUCCUUCUUCUGACCUCUGCAGCAACCAAGCACACAGGUGGUGCACAAACAUACAUACAGGUGCAGGCAAAACAUUCAUACACAUAAACAAUAGAAGAAAAGAAAGUGGAAAUCAGAGGACAACAGAUAUCAAUAGUGAAGGGUACUCACUGUUUUCACUCUUUGUGUUUUCUCCUACUGUGUAUUUCCACAUUCCGAGAAAAUAAAUAAGAUAUUACAUUAUACAUUUUCUCGACAUACCCAUACACACAUAUGUAUAUAUAAAUUGGGAUCACUGACUUAUGAAAGCUAAAAUAUGAAUUUCAAAAAUACAUAGCUCAGGUGAUUUUCCACUUAUACAUCUCUCUUUUCAAUUAAUUAAUUAAUUAAUUUUUAUGUAUAUGAGUACACUGUAGCUGUCUUAAGGCACACCAGAAAAGGGCAUCAGAUCCCAUUACAGAUGGUUGUGAGCCACCAUGUGGGUGCUGGGAAAUGAACUCAGGACCUCUGGAAGAGCAGUCAGUACUCUUAACCGCUAAGCCAUCUCUCCAGCCCCUUAGAUCCCUCUUGAUGACAGGAAGGAAGUCUGGGAGGAGAUACUUGGAGAGAACAUAGAAACAGUAAUUCAUUUAUUUCAUUAUUUCAUUGCUUCAGGGACUACUAGAUAAUUUCUUUCCCUCUGAUUUGAGUAGAACUUCCUUCUGGAAUUUGCCUGAAAAUAAAAAUGGAAUUUUUGGUUUCUGUUUUACCUUUCAUGGCCACACCAGGCUUGUAGAUCCUCCAGGAUGUCUUCAGUUUCUCUCAAAAAAAAAUUGCCAACCUGCCUACUGGCCUCUGUGAGCAUGAAGGACCAACUCUGCCUACUGGUCUCUGUGAGAAUGUAGGACAACUCUGUGUGCUUUCUCUGACCCACUGUCACCUGAGGGGGAAGUGCUUUGUAUUCUGUAUAGCUGACUUCAUGACAGUGAUAUAGUUUAUUAUUUAUUUAAAUUAUUUAAUUAUGAAUGUUUAAGUGUCAGUGUGCAAAUAUGUCCACAUGAGUGCAAAUAUUCUCACAGGCCAUUCACAUCAGAUCUCCUUGGGACUAAAGUUACAGGUGGUCAUGAGCAACCCACAUGGAUGCCAGCUGUGCGUCAUCUGCAAGACUGUUCUCUGUUGAGCCUAGCAUCUUUCUAGUUUCUGCCUUCUACCUUCUAUUUUUGGCAUAGUAAGCUUAUCAGACAGGCUGUAGGCAUUCUUAGUGAUGGAUAGAUCAAUAGCUCUUCUGGUCACACAGAUGGGUCAAAAAUCAUAGAUCAGAGUGUUGCUAUUGUUAUUUCUCUCACUGGUGAAUACAGAAUGACUGGUGUUCAGCAGCAGUUUCCUCCUGGAGAUCACACAAGGGAUGGACAACUUCAAAUGAAUGACUUGGCAAUCGCUAUGCCUGGCCUCUUUAGAUAAGCACCAUGAACCCCUGAAGGAGUCAGCACUGCUUCCCCUGAAAUCAUGAGACAGCUAUCCAGAUGCCUGGAUAGAGCAGGACAUGACAGAGUGUCAAAUCAGAAAUCAACUCCAAGCUCAUCUCUUGUGUUACUGUGGGAUGAGUCGCAAUAAUUCAGGAAAAUUAAUUCUCAAGGUCCAUGGAAGAAAGUAGAAACCGUAACUAGGAAAUGGGCGAACCACACUUUGUGCUGUAAUAUUGAGAGUGCAUUCUCUACAACAAGGUGCUCCAGCCAUGGGCUAAUCCCUCUUCAAGAAGUCAGUAGGGUCUAGGAGUCGAAGUUAGUUGGUUGUCCUCACCUAGCAUGCAUGGAGCCUGGGAAUUCCAUCGUCACUGCCCCAUAAGCCUGGCAUGGUGGCAUAAGCCUGCAAUCCCAGCACUUACCUCAGGAAAUAAAAGCAGGAAUGUCACAAGUUCAAAGUUACUUUUGAGCUGCGUUAUCUUAGUUAGGGUUUUACUGCUGUGAACAGACUCCAUGACCAAGGCAACUCUUAUAAGGAUGACAUUUAAUUGGGGCUGGCUUACAGGUUCAGAGAUUCAGUCCAUUAUCAUCAAGGUGGGAGCAUGGCAGCGUCCAGGCAGGCAUGGUGCAGGAGGAGCUGAGAGUUCUACGUCUUUAUCUGAAGGCUGCUAGUGGAAGACUGACUUCCAAGUAGAUGAGGGUCUUAAGCCCACAUCCACAGUGACACACCUACUCUAAGGCCAUACCUCCAAAUAGUGCCAUACCCUGAACCAAGCAUAUACAAGCCAUCACAUACAUAUAGUUACCUCCAGGUCAGACCUUCAGACACAGGUGAUGAGUCUCAACAACAAACAAUGAUUGCUUGAAUGUUAUUUUCUCUUAUCUGUAGUAUAUUUUUAAAAAGGUAUAUUUCUUUUCCUUUAUUCAUAAGCCAUUUAGCCAAAAGACUUAAGUUUAACAUGAGUCUUGAGAUGAAAAUGUUUCUAUUGGAAAAUGGCUUUGAUCCCACACCUUCACAAAAACAAAGCAAAACAAAACAAAAC